UCAAGGUUCGCAUUGCGUUAGUAAUGCCUG
rnacentral:piRNA from 1 species